rnacentral:lncRNA from 1 species
GAAACUCAAUGUCCCAAGUGCCAGUCCUUUGACAAUUGGAAUAUGGGAGCUUGAAUUAAGUAAUGAAGACAAAUGGAAUAUAAAUGAGCUUAGACUUCUUAGGAACCUAACUUCCAGAAAGGGUGACUUAUGAUUCUAAAUAUGAAAGUACAUUUCUAGUGUAUUUCCACAACAGUACUUAGAAGACCUGGGAUGUAAACAAAAAGUAAAGUAGAAGUCACUGGCACAGAUCUGAAACCAAGUUUUAUUAAGGGUCAGAGACUCCACCGGUUUCAAAGUGAGAUCAGCAUGCAGAUGAAAUUUUUAGACCAUAUUGAAAAAUGAAAAAUUGGACUCCUCAUCACUUUUUCCCAAGAGAGGAAAGCUGCCGUCAGCAGAGCCAAGGAAAGAAAACAGCAGUGAAAUAAUAUAGAAACCCAGGGAACAGCAGGUAGAAGAAUUAGUCAUGGUUGCUUUGGAGUAUAAAAUUUUACCUCCAAUAUAACGCCAAAAAUACUAAAUGAUUUAACACAACAACUUAUUCUAGCUCUACAAAAUAUGGGUUACUAGGUUUUCUUCCUUUUAUGCCCCUGUGUUUUCUUGAUGUCUUUUACCUGGUUCCAGUUUCCUUAGCUUUUGGUAGGAGAUAGCAUUUUCAGAGCACUGUGCCAAGACUUACCCACAUGAGUCCUAUCGACCUUGAUCAAGGUCACAAGGCAAAAUCCCUAGUCCUUACUUUGAAAAUUAACUUGAUAUUUCCAGAUAUAUAUUCAUCUGGUUUUUCUAUUCCACAUAUGAGAAUUAUUUCUCUGAAAGGUUUGAUUUAUUUCUAUUAAUUAUUAUUCAAAAAUAUACCCUGUGAAACAAUUGUAACUAAAUACCAAACAAAUGAAAACAGAUGGUAGUGUAAUCUAGACAAAGAAUUUGGCCCAGAGGGUUAAAAAAAAAAAGAAUAUAAUAGAGGAAGAAUUUUCUUUAAUUACCCUCAGAAAGUCAACGUGAAAAGUGAUUGAAAUAGGUUUUGCUGGUAUCUCUCCCAGUUUUAAACAUAUUUGUAUUUCUAAAGUAAAGCAUCUAUAAAGAUAAUCCAGAACUUAAGUAGUGAAAAUAACUGUUUUUCAUCACUCAAUUACAACAUUUAAGUCCAUAUUAACAAGCCAAACCGAAGAAAAGAUUUACCAAGUGAAUUGAGAAAAUAUGACAUCUGGAUGAUAAAAGUGAGUUUGAUAAAUUUAAAAAUAAUUUGAAUGACUAAUUAAAAGUUUCCCUUAUUCAUUAGGAAGCUUAUGACUGCUCCUGCUGUUUUUUUCUAGCAUUAUCUUUGCAGACUUUGUUCAUCCAAGAUCAAAACAAUGGGUCAAUUUCAUCAGCUCCUUUAAAUAAUGCAUCUAGAAAGUGAAAAAUAGUCUGUCUGAUGACAAGACCUUUCGCCAUGUUAGGAGGAGGUUUCUUUGUUCUCAUUAACAUCCACUAAAAAGGCCCUGGUGUGGAGGCCCACUCUGGAAAAGCUGGCCUCCAGUGCACAAGAUGAAGAGGUAAGGUCAGGUUCACCAGAUUUUAAUCACUCAGAAGUACAUCUGCCUGAAAAGCCUAGUCAAAGAUCCACAUGAGGCAAUGUACUUAACACCUUCCAAAUUCCCUUUUCAGCACAGAUUACCCACUAUACUUAUAGCACCAGAUGGAUUCUUGAAAAAGUGUUGCAAUGUAAUCAGGCAUCAAAGUUAAAAUAAAUUUUAUAAACAGUACUAAGGCUAACUACAUUUCCAAACCACUUUGGCACAUUUCUUUGGUCUCCUCCAUUCAUUUUGCCAGCAGUCGUUGAUUUAAAAGGUUACGUGAAUGUGUAUAUUUUUUUCUAACGUAACAUUUACAAAGAAAGCACUUAUGUAAAUAAACCUUUGGAAAACGAGGUUGCUAUGAUUAAAGCACAAAUGUGGGCAUAUGCCAUGGAAAGUACUGUUCUUUUCUUUAAUACUAUGUUAACAAAAAGUUAUUUAAAUAAAUU